rnacentral:rRNA from 2 species
ACGGGGUGCAGCAGGCGCGAAAACUUUGCAAUGUGCGAAAGCACGACAAGGUUAAUCCGAGUGGUUUCUGCUAAAGAAACCUUUUGUCAGUCCUAGAAACACUGAUGAAUAAGGGGUGGGCAAGUCCUGGUGUCAGCCGCCGCGGUAAAACCAGCACCUCAAGUGGUCAGGAUGAUUAUUGGGCCUAAAGCAUCCGUAGCUCGUUUUGUAAGUUUUCGGUUAAAUCCAUGCGCUUAACGUAUGGGCUGCCGGGAAUACUGCAUAACUAGGAAGUGGGGGAGGUAGACGGUACUCGGUAGGAAGGGGUAAAAUCCUUUGAUCUAUUGAUGACCACCUGUGGCGAAGGCGGUGUACCAGAACACGUUCGACGGUGAGGGAUGAAAGCUGGGGGAGCAAACCGGAUUAGAUACCCGGGUAGUCCCAGCUGUAAACGAUGCAGACUCGGUGAUGCAUUGGCUUGUGGCCAAUGCAGUGCCGCAGGGAAGCCGUUAGGUCUGCCGUCUGGGAAGUACGUACGCAAGUAUGAAACCUAAAGGAAUUGGCGGGGGAGCAC